CAGCAGUAGCUGGUGUGACAACGAGUGUCGUGCUGUACGUGCAGCAGCGAGACGAUUACUUCGUGAAUUCCUGAAAGUCAUCUGAUAACAAGUCAGGAUGUAUUCUGCGGCAUCUGGAGAGAUGCCAUCCUCGACAACUCAGACACAUCAGCACUUUGUGUCAGAGCCAUUGGGAGAUAAGCUUGUGACUGAACUACCAGGGAUAGGACCAGCUCUUGGUCACAGACUCAGCAAAGCGGGGUUUCCAAGGGCGCGCAAUGUUCUGGGCCAGUACCUGAAGUUGGACGGAGAUAGGAUCCUUUUCGUAAACUGGCUGAAGGGGACAUGUUCUGCUAAUUCCAAACAGGCGGAUUUCUGCUACAUGGCUCUGCAAACCUGGUGUGACAAUCACGUCAUGUGAUUGUCACUUGCCUGCCCAGUCAUAUCAUGCCACCUGUACUCGUGCACACUCUCGCUUUGUACUUCUUAACCCCAAGUUGCACAACACAAUUCUCUUCUACUCAGGACAUUUAUUUGUGUGGUGACAUGGUUUGUUUGGCCUGGACAAAAUUUGCAGGAAAGGAUGUUAAUGUGCUUGUCGUGAAUAACAUUCAUUAUCGAAGUACAGCCUAUGUAGCCGUCUUGUUCGUUAUGCUUUGGUCGGGUUAAAAACACCAUAACAUUCAUCACUUUAAAACAGCUUGGACCCAGAUCUAAAUUAAAUAGUAGUUUAUCUAAUUUAUGCUA